AGCAGCCGCGGUAAUUCCAGCUCCAAUAGCGUAUAUUAAAGUUGUUGCAGUUAAAAAGCUCGUAGUUGAAUUUCGGGAUCAAUUAAUUGGUCGUGCCUCUGGUACGUACUGAUUUUAUUGGUUUCUCCCUUCUGACGAACCAUGAUGUCAUUAAUUUGGUGUCGUGGAGAAUCAGGACUGUUACUUUGAAAAAUUAGAGUGUUUAAAGCAAGCUAACGCUUGAAUACAUUAGCAUGGAAUAAUGAAAUAGGACGUUUGAUCCUAUUUUGUUGGUUUCUAGGAUCGACGUAAUGAUUAAUAGGGAUAGUUGGGGGCAUUAGUAUUCAAUUGUCAGAGGUGAAAUUCUUGGAUUUAUUGAAGACUAACUACUGCGAAAGCAUUUGCCAAGGAUGUUUUCAUUAAUCAAGAACGAAAGUUAGGGGAUCGAAGACGAUCAGAUACCGUCGUAGUCUUAACCAUAAACUAUGCCGACUAGGGAUCGGAUGAUGUUAAUUUUUAAUGUACUCAUUCGGCGCCUUAA
rnacentral:misc_RNA from 1 species